rnacentral:rRNA from 1 species
UACGUAGGAGGCAAGCGUUGUCCGGAAUUACUGGGCGUAAAGCGCGUGUAGGUGGUGGGACAAGUCUGCUGUGAAGGCGCCUGGCUUAACCGGGCGAGGUCGGCGGAAACUGUUCGACUCGAGGACGGUAGAGGGGGGUGGAAUUCCCGGUGUAGUGGUGAAAUGCGUAGAUAUCGGGAGGAACACCAGUGGCGAAGGCGACUUCCUGGCCUGUUCUUGACGCUGAGGCGCGAAAGCUAGGGGAGCAAACGGG